GACGAACGCUGGCGGCGUGCUUAACACAUGCAAGUCGAACGGAAAGGCCCUGCUUUUGCGGGGUGCUCGAUUGGCGAACGGGUGAGUAACACGUGAGUAACCUGCCCCUGACUUUGGGAUAACUUCAGGAAACUGGGGCUAAUACCGGAUAGGAGCUCUUGCUGCAUGGUGGGGGAUGGAAAGUUUCGGCGGUUGGGGCUGGACUCGCGGCUUAUCAGCCUGUUGGUGGGGUAGUGGCUUACCAGGGCUUUGACGGAUAGCCGGCCUGGGAGGGUGACCGGCCACAUUGGGACUGAGAGAGGGCCCAGACGCCAACGGGAGGCAGCAGUGGGGAGUAUUGCGCAGUGGGCGGAAGCCUGAGACAGCAACGCCGCGAGCGGGAUAACGGCCUUCGAGUUGUGAACCGCUUUCGCCUGUGACGAAGCGUGAGUGACGGUAAUGGGUAAGGAAGCACCGGCUAACUACGUG
rnacentral:rRNA from 1 species